rnacentral:rRNA from 1 species
AGCGAACGCUGGCGGCAGGCCUAACACAUGCAAGUCGAACGAACCCUUCGGGGUUAGUGGCGGACGGGUGAGUAACACGUGGGAACGUGCCUUUAGGUGGAAUAACUCAGGGAAACUUGUGCUAAUACCGAAUGUGCCCUUCGGGGGAAAGAUUUAUCGCCUUUAGAGCGGCCCGCGUCUGAUUAGCUAGUUGGUGAGGUAAUGGCUCACCAAGGCUACGAUCAGUAGCUGGUCUGAGAGGAUGACCAGCCACAUUGGGACUGAGACACGGCCCAAGCGCCUGCGGGAGGCAGCAGUGGGGAAUCUUGCGCAAUGGGCGAAAGCCUGACGCGGCCAUGCCGCGUGGAUGAUGAAGGUCUUAGGAUUGUAAAAUCCUUUCACCGGUGAAGAUAAUGACUGUAGCCGGAGAAGAAGCCCCGGCUAACUUCGUGCCAGCAGCCGCAGUAACAC